GACGAACGCUGGCGGCGUACUUAACACAUGCAAGUCGAACGGAAAGGCCCUGCUUUUGUGGGGUGCUCGAGUGGCGAACGGGUGAGUAACACGUGAGUAACCUGCCCUUGAUUUUGGGAUAACUUCAGGAAACUGGGGCUAAUAUCGGAUAGGAGCUCCUGUUGCAUGGUGGGGGUUGGAACGUCUCGGCGGUUGGGGAUGGACUCGCGGCUUACCAGCUUGUUGGUGGGGUAGUGGCUUACCAAGGCUUUGACGGGUAGCCGGCCUGAGAGGGUGACCGGCCACAUUGGGACUGAGGUACGGCCCAGACUCCUACGGGAGGCAGCAGUGGGGAAUAUGGCACAAUGGGCGGAAGCCUGAUGCAGCAACGCCGGGUGCGUGAUGACGGCCUUCGGGUUGUAAACCGCUUUCGCCUGUGACGAAGCGUGAGUGACGGUAAUGGGUAAAGAAGCACCGGCUAACUACGUG
rnacentral:rRNA from 1 species